GAAGAUGAUGGCAGAGAUCAGAGGGAUGCGGCUGCAGCCAAGGAACACAAAUGACUGGCAGGAAACCACCAGAAGUUAGCAAGGAGGCACGGAAUAGACUCUCCCUCACAGCCCUCAGAAGGAACCGAUUCUGCCAACACCUGGAUCUUCUAGCUUCCAGAACUAUGAGGAAAUUGAAGUUCAGAGAGUCCAAGUAACAUGCUCAUCAGACGAUAUUCUGAUUCAGUGAGUCUUGGAGUCAAUAUACAUCCCAGGAGUCAGUAUACAUGACAAGCAGCGCCAAGCCAUUCUGAUGUAAGUAGUCCAUAGACUGCCUGAGAAACCUGCUAUAGAUUUACUAAGCUUGAUAUAAUGGCCCCCUUUAAUCAAAGAUCUAGUAAGUAUUUUCUUCCUUCAGUUUCUAGAACACAUCCUGUUCCCAUUUUCACUUUUUCUUAAAAAUGGCACUCAUUUCUGGGCCAAAUAUAGGCCAGGCUGUGAAAGAGAAAAAUAUUCCUUGUGCACAACUCUUUCUAAAUGCUCGACGCUAGUGGUCUUCUAAGUGGUGUGUGUACCCUAAAAGCUACACGAAGUGAC